UUAUUUUCUUGAAUUUACAUUAUUUUCCAGCCACUGAAAGAAGAUCGGCGAAGGGAGUCACUCAAAAAUUUCCCCUUAAUUGAUGCAUUUGGAUUUGUUCGGAUAUAAACCACAUCUCCAUGGUUCAAUUCCGCAACAACAAUGCCAGUAGCUGAAUGAUCAUCGCGUACUUCCUCACUUUCGGUAACAAUGCUGCCAAAUGGCACAGAGUUUAUAACUAUUUCAGAAAAAAUAUAGCUAUUGAUGUCUGAUGUUAUUGUCCAUGUGAAUACGUAUGUUCCAUGUUCUGUAGUGCUGAACACUCCAGUAUGUUUGCUAUAAGAUGACCCAAGAUUGGUCCUAACAUCGUCGAAAAUCAGAGUCUGAUGCCGCCCUGGAUUUGCUUCAUGUGUACUCAUGUAAGCAUAGAAAGCUACUGUGUUGACA
rnacentral:lncRNA from 1 species